UUCCGUUAGUGGUAUAGCUGUAGUUGUUGAGAAAGGAAAGGCUGGUUAAUCAUAUUAUUCCUUAAAAACGUACUACUACACUUACAUUUUCCUUUCUUUUCUUCGCUCUGAAAUAUUCUCAACGUGAUUUUGUGGAAAUACAAUUUUUUCUGAGCUUAAAUUUCGUUCUUUAUAGCUUCUGAUGAAAUUCUUUCACACAACCAGCAGCGAUAGAGUAGAAGCAUACAUUCCUUAAGGACAGCAAUUACACGCACGGUUUAAGUCGCAAUCUUCUAUUCUUGCAACUUUUCCAUCAGUUUGUGGGGUUAAAAAUUAACAUGGAGGAAUCUGUUAUGAUACUUUUCUCGGUUCUGUCAGUGUGCGUGGCGUUUCUUGUCUUCUUUAUUUGCUGUGUAUUUAGUUCCAGCAAGAAGCAGAAAAAGGACGAGCUUCCCGCAGGAACCAAUAUUGUAAGCAAGGGAAUAGAGUUUUUGCCCACCAAACUGAUGAUGGUACUAUUGCCAUGGCUACUCUGACCAACAUAACAUGUAAUACGAGCAGUUGUGGCUUUCAAGGUGACAGUGGUGGUGGUUUUGGUGGAGGGGGUGGUCAUGGCAGCAGCAGUUGUGGUGGUUGUGGUGGAGGCGGUAGCGGUGGCGGUUUUUGAAUAGAUCAAAUUGUAAUUAACUAUUUUUAGUACUUAAUGUUCCAAUUUCAAGUUGUAAUUUCGC
rnacentral:lncRNA from 1 species